rnacentral:misc_RNA from 1 species
UUUGUUUUUUAAUUAAAAACUAGAAUGAAAGGUUAUACAUUCAAAUUUCUUUAUUAAUUUUUAAUAAAUAAUUUAUAUUAAAUAUAAAAAUAUAUUUUUAAAAAAAAAAGACGACAAGACCCUAUUAAAUUUUACUUAUAGUUUAGCUGGGGAAGCUUUUUAAUUAAAAUUUUUUAAAUUUAAUAAAUAAAAAUCUAAUAAAAUUAAAAUUUUAAUAAAUUACUAUAGGGAUAACAGCAUUAUAUUUUUUUAAAGUUCAUAUUAAAAAAAAAGAUUGUGACCUCGAUGUUGAAUUAUAUUUUCUAUAUUUAAUGCAAUAAUUAUAAAAGUAGAUCUGUUCGAUCUUUAAAAUAUUACAUGAUUUGAGUUCAAACCGGUGUAAACCAGGUUGGUUUCUAUCUUUUUUUAUAUUUUUCUAGUACGAAAGGACAAAAAAAUUUUUAUUUUAAUAAAUUAGCAAAUAAAUGCAUUAGAUUUAGAAUCUAAAUAUAUUUAAUAAUU